rnacentral:rRNA from 1 species
CAGUCGCCACGGUAAUGCGUAGGUGGCAAGCGUUGUCCGGAAUUAUUGGGCGUAAAGGGCUCGCAGGCGGUUUCUUAAGUCUGAUGUGAAAGCCCCCGGCUCAACCGGGGAGGGUCAUUGGAAACUGGGAAACUUGAGUGCAGAAGAGGAGAGUGGAAUUCCACGUGUAGCGGUGAAAUGCGUAGAGAUGUGGAGGAACACCAGUGGCGAAGGCGACUCUCUGGUCUGUAACUGACGCUGAGGAGCGAAAGCGUGGGGAGCGAACAGGAUUAGAUACCCCUGUAGUCCCUGUCUCUUAUAC